GUCUACAGCCAUACCACCCUGAACACACCUGAUCUCGUCUGAUCUCGGAAGCUAAGCAGGGUCGGGCCUGGUUAGUACUUGGAUGAGAGAGGCAUAAAGAAAGAUAGACACCUGAAAACA
ensembl:rRNA 5S_rRNA 5S ribosomal RNA